AUAUAAGCGUAUAGAAAUUCCGACAAUGACAGACGGAAUCCAAAAAGGAAUAAAAGAAUAUUACCUACGAAUGGUUAUGAUUAAUAUGUUAAAAAUAUCUCAAAUAAAAACAAACGGGUUAUGAUUAAUCUGUAAAAAAAAAUAAUAUUCCCAACGAAUGGUUGUGAUUAAUUUGUUAAAAAUAUCUCAAAUCAAUAAGAACGGUUAUGAUCAUCUAUUAAAUCUCUACUAUAUAAAAUCUAUUCUCUACAAAUGCAUAUGAUCAAUUUGUUAAAAAAAAAAUCUCAAAUAAGAACAGCUAUGAUCAAUUUAUUAAAAAAUAGUAUUCCUAUCCAUCUAUAAAUUCAAUCCUACGAACAAUUAUAAUCAAUUUGUUAAAAAAUACCUCAAAUAAAACAAACUGUUAUAAUCAAUUUGUAAAAAAAAAAAACAUUCCUAUUUAUCUAUUUUACAUUAAAAUUUGCAUUUAAAUUAUGAAAUUAAAUUUAAUUUUU
rnacentral:lncRNA from 1 species